UACGUAGGGUGCGAGCGUUGUCCGGAAUUAUUGGGCGUAAAAGAGCUUGUAGGCGGUUUGUCGCGUCUGCCGUGAAAACCCGGGGCUCAACCCCGGACUUGCGGUGGGUACGGGCAGACUAGAGUGUGGUAGGGGAGACUGGAAUUCCUGGUGUAGCGGUGAAAUGCGCAGAUAUCAGGAGGAACACCGAUGGCGAAGGCAGGUCUCUGGGCCACUACUGACGCUGAGAAGCGAAAGCGUGGGGAGCAAACAGG
rnacentral:rRNA from 1 species